rnacentral:rRNA from 1 species
AUACGGAGGGUGCAAGCGUUGUCCGGAUUUAUUGGGUUUAAAGGGUGCGUAGGUGGUUUUUUAAGUCAGUGGUGAAAGCCUACAGCUUAACUGUAGAGGUGCCAUUGAAACUGGGAAACUUGAGUAUGGACGAGGUAGGCGGAAUUUGUGGUGUAGCGGUGAAAUGCAUAGAUACCACAAAGAACACCGAUAGCGAAGGCAGCUUACUAGGCCAUAACUGACACUGAGGCACGAAAGUGUGGGGAGCGAACAGGAUUAGAUACCCCGGUAGUCC